rnacentral:lncRNA from 1 species
CGCCCGGGGAGCAGGCUGGCAGAGUGACCGGGAUUGAUGAGCGGCGCAGCUCUGGAGGGACGCGGGCGAGAGGGUCGCUCCUCGGGGAGAGGGCUGGAUAGAUGGAAUGUACAGCCAGAGGAUUGGAUGAGGUCAUCGACGGAGAGAAUGCAGAGAGAAUCCUGGGGCUCACCAACAUGAAGAAUUUGGGACAAGAAAGAAGAUCCAGCAGAGAAGACUGAAAGAAGGCAACUAAUGAAAUAGGAGAGAACCUGGAGAGCACAGAGUCUUAGAGGCCAAGAAAGUGGUUUAAUAUAAUCCGUAUCAAAGCAUUUGUGGUUUAUUUUUGUUAACUGACAAAAGGAUUCUAAAACAUACCUGAAAAGUAUAAUUCACACCUAGGAUAAUGGAUCAUUCUGUCACAUUGUUCCUUUUUCACAGCUGAUAUGAACAUGAUAUUUUCAUGACUUUGUAAAAUAAAAAUGGAAUCUUUCUAAUUUUUUUAAAAAAACUGCUUACUUAUGCAAGCCUUCUGUCUCUCACUGUAUAACCCCUCCACUUUUAUACGGGUCACACAUGUUUCUGUCACUUUCCUGGAGCCCUUGUAGCAAAUUAAUAACAUGUAGCACAUGCUUGAAGAAAAAUUUGUCUAGGACAUUUUGUUUUUGAGAUUCAUAAAUUGACUCUAUUUUACAUAAGAAUCUAUUAUGCCAUAGGAAGCUUAUUAAACCCUUGAGCAGG